GCAUUGAUUAAAAAAAGAAGUCUUUUCGUGUUUUUGCAUGCUUGUGUGUGUUAGAUAGCCUUGCUGGCAAUGAUGUAUAAUAUUAAGAACAUGUAUUGGUUCAUGGAUUAUGGAUAAGUUACUUGUGUGAGUUAGAUUUUUGCUUAUUCGUGUGAAACGGAAAUUAUUUUUGCACGUGGAUUGAUUGUAGCGUUGUACAUGAGUAGGUUGAUCCAUGUUUAUUGGUUGAAUAAGAGAACUUAGAUACUAAACCCAAACAACCUUUAAACAUUACUAUACCCUUAAACCAAAUAUAGGCUAUUUGGUAGGUUAAGCUGUUGCAGGAAAACUUGGAGAUAAAUGUGGAUUCCAUGCGUGCUAAAUUUUGUGUGGAUUGUCUGAGACUAAUAGGAUGAAAAUUGGGUGAAAACUUUAAGUUAGAGGUCGAUUUUCGAAAAUAGGUGUUUAAUAAGGGGCAUUGCACUAAUCAUUGCCAAAAAAAAAAAAAAAAAAAAAAAACGAUCCCAAUGAGGACAACUUUAAUAAUCUCAUUAUGAAUCGUCUCUUCGUAGCCUUUAUGACUCGAGUAAUUAAGCCUGUAAGGGUUUAAAACCUGGUGCCCUAAAGUCGUCUGAUUUGGGAGUCAUCGGCCUAAAACUCGUUACAAGGGUCAUUUAGAAAGCUUGAGGGAGUGACGUCCACACAAAGGGUGUUUAAAGAAUACAUUUAUAUAAAAAAUAAAAAAAAUAAAAAUAUAGAUAUCAAAUGCCUUGAUUACGCUCCGAACACCUGUUUUAGAGGAUUAGACCUUUGAUAAGAGGUUAGUAAUUCGGUUGAAUCCUAGAGGUUGAAGCAAUCAAAAAUAAGGAGAAUCCUCAUUUGUUGACAUGUGGAACUACAAUCAGUAAAAUCUAACCAAACUUGAGUGGUGUAAGAAAUUAGUAUUGAAAAUUUAACCUUAGGUUACACCCUUGGAAGGAGAAAAGAAUUAAGUUUGGGGGUGUGUGAAUCCCACGAGCGAAGUAAGGAAAAAUUUGACUUCUAAGGUCGGGAAUUGGGUCAACUUAUUAUUGUACAGCGUUAUGCUUAACUCUCCACACACACCCGUUUGCAUUGAAUGAGCAAGGAUUUGACGCUUGCAUUAUAGUUUUGAAGUACUUCAUGAAUUUGACGCUGUGUUCUUAAUCUUGAGCAAUAAAAGCAAAGGUGUCUAACAUAAAGUUUCUUUUGAGUGACUUUAUCUGUCUUAGUCGUGUUUUUGUGUUCGUUAAUAAUUAUCUUUAGUUUUGUGUUUGCUCGAGGACAAGCAAAGAACUAAGUUUGGGGGUGUUUGAUGAGUGUAAUUCACUCAUUAAACUUAAGCUUCUAAAUCGAGUUUUUUGAUGUGUUCUUGAGCAUUUUUGAACGUUUUGAUGUGUGUGUUAGUGUUAUUUUGUAGUUUGGACAAUUCUCAAGAAAAUAUCACUAUUGGGAGCCGGUGGUGAGCAAAAAUGAUGAUCAAUGAAAAGGAGCAUGAAUAAGCAAGUAUUGAAUAAGAUUGAAGUAGGAAAUAGGCUUGGAAAAACAAAGAGAAGAA
rnacentral:lncRNA from 1 species